rnacentral:rRNA from 1 species
UACGGGGGGAGCAAGCGUUGUUCGGAUUUACUGGGCGUAAAGGGCGCGUAGGCGGCCACCGCAAGUCGACUGUGAAAUCUCCGGGCUUAACCCGGAAAGGUCAGCCGAUACUGCGGGGCUAGAGUGUGGAAGGGGCAAUCGGAAUUCUUGGUGUAGCGGUGAAAUGCGUAGAUAUCAAGAGGAACACCUGAGGUGAAGACGGGUUGCUGGGCCAACACUGACGCUGAGGCGCGAAAGCCAGGGGAGCAAACGGG